rfam:Gemmatimonadetes bacterium 13_1_40CM_3_69_22 13_1_40cm_3_scaffold_4505, whole genome shotgun sequence.
CAGCGACAAGGGCAAACCCGGCGAAAGCCGGGGGCACAAAGCCACGGGUCCUCGCCUCCUCCGCGACGCCGCAGUAGGCGACGCCACGAGGGACCCACGACCGCCGAGCUACCGCA